ACAAAAAAAAACUCAGACAACCAAAGAAAAGAGGGAGCAAAGGGAAGUGGAUAUAUUCCAAGGGUUGUUGACCCCCCUUUCUGCUUCCAAUGAUUUUCAUUUUUGCCCUCUUAUUUUCUCAACAACCCUUUCGAUCAAUCGAUCUGUACGCUGUUUCUACUACUUACUUUCUUUUCAUUCCCUUUGUGGGAUGGUGAAUAUAUAAUGACAGACAGAUACAUAGAUAGAACAGAUACUGCUCAAUCUGAGAUUAUGCUUUGCUGGCUUAUUCUUGUUUCUUGACUACUUUCUGCUUACCAAAAAUAUCCUCCUUUUUUUAGAGGCAGUGAUGAUACUUAAAAAAUUAAAAUAAUAUUAUUAUUAUUUGUUGUUGUCUGAGUAAAUCGGGGCGAAGUUUGAGAAUUACCGUAUCUUGGCGGGGUAAUUUUCUAGAGGUUUCAAUAUAAUGUUACCGUCCGUGAUGAUAAUUGCAGCCAUGGCGGUUUAUUCCUCUUUGUUCCGAUUAUUAUUAACACAUCUGAGCCUCCAUCAUAUUUUUUUAAUUAAUUUUUCUUGUGACUUCCGAUGUAAUAAUGUAAAAUUUAUAAAUGUACUAAAAGUUUUAUUCAUUCACAACAAAUUUACAUUUUUUUAUUGCAUAGUGUAAUGUUGUUGGGGAGUUUUUGCUCAAAAGUGGAUGAGGCUCCAAAAUCAAGUAUGAACCCAUGAUUUUCACCUUCUCCGUCUCUAUAUAUUCACACAAACACAUUAUAUUAUCAGAUGACCCUGACAAAAUGGACGGAGUUUUAGAAUCUCGUAUUGGGGCAAAUACUAUAAUGUCAUUAGUUUUUAAGGAAAAAAAUAGUAUUGCAUUCGAUGUCUCAUGCAUAUAGUACUUGAAUUAUUGCGUUGAAUUAUUGUCCUUUAUAGCUCAAAGUCGAAUAGCGAACAAUUUUAUAUGAUUUAUGGCUAGGUGUUUAACUUGAUCUUACAUUCUUACUUACUAUACUUCAUAUUAUUCUUAUUGAAAAAAAACUUUGAGAUGUCACCGUUAUUGAGUUUGACUCUCUGAAGUGACAAGUUUAUGGGUUUAUAUCCUUGAAUAAAACUCUUUAACCUACAGCGAGCCACAGUGUUGUGUUGGGGCUGGUCCACUGUAUGGUUUGGUUCGGUGUUCCCUAAAAGUCGAUUUUUGACUGACUCUUGAAAAAAAAAAAAGAUGUGGUUAUACACUGACAUUACUGGAUCAUCAUUUACUCAUUUUGUAUUCUAUUCUAUAAGCGAAAUAACAAUCUUUGCUCCUUAAUAACCAAUUCAUAACUUUUGUGUUUUAUCCUCAUUUUGUUACUUUUCAUUUUUAUUUGAAAUUAUCUGUAAAUAUUUCUUUCAAGCUAUACAUUGAUUGGUAGUGCAGUGGCUGCUGGCAAAGUGGAGGACUCAUUGUUUCUUGUGGCUAAGAAAGAUAUUGGUUACAUGUCGAACUGCUGAGGAAGUGUUGAUAAGUUCAGACACGAAGCUGAAAAACUCAAGCUACUAGACCAAAUGCACAUUUGAGGCCAUCUGCCUUGUUUAUUCUGAUGAUGACUGGGUGUCGAGGUUAUCUGGAUUUGAGUUUUCUAUCAAACGUGCAGUUGAACAGCAAAGCCAAAAUUUCCUCUCAGAUGAAGCAAUUGGCACUGAAGGGUAUAUGGAUCCGACUUAUUUGAAACAUGGAGGUGUGACUCACAACUCUGACAUCUACUCUUUAGGCGUCGUUCUAUUUGAAUUGCUGUAUUGUUGCUGGGAAUUUUGCUCAAAAGUGAGUGAGGUUCUGACCAGUCUAAUCUGUUGCCAUUUGAUCGGAGAUAUUUUUCAAAAUCAAGUAUGAGCCUACAAACAGAUAAUAUUAUGCUCACUUGAUCUUAAUCUUAAUGUUAGUCAUAAUCAAGCUAGUAGACCAAAUGCUCAUUUGAGGCGAUUUGCCUUGUUUAUUCUGUACUACUAUUGUUACUAUUA